UACGUAGGUGGCAAGCGUUAUCCGGAAUUAUUGGGCGUAAAGCGCGCGCAGGCGGUUUCUUAAGUCUGAUGUGAAAGCCCACGGCUCAACCGCGGAGGGUCAUUGGAAACUGGGGAACUUGAGUGCAGAAGAGAAAAGCGGAAUUCCACGUGUAGCGGUGAAAUGCGUAGAGAUGUGGAGGAACACCAGUGGCGAAGGCGGCUUUUUGGUCUGUAACUGACGCUGAGGCGCGAAAGCGUGGGGAGCAAACAGG
rnacentral:rRNA from 1 species